GAUGAACGCUGGCGGCGUGCCUAAUACAUGCAAGUCGAGCGAACGGACGAGAAGCUUGCUUCUCUGAUGUUAGCGGCGGACGGGUGAGUAACACGUGGAUAACCUACCUAUAAGACUGGGAUAACUUCGGGAAACCGGAGCUAAUACCGGAUGAUAUUUUGAACCGCAUGGUUCAAAAGUGAAAGACGGUCUUGCUGUCACUUAUAGAUGGACCCGCGCUGCAUUAGCUAGUUGGUAAGGUAACGGCUUACCAAGGCAACGAUUCAUAGCGGACCUGAGAGGUUGAUCGGCCACACUGGAACUGAGACACGGUCCAGACUCCUACGGGAGGCAGCAGUAGGGAAUCUUCCGCAAUGGGCGAAAGCCUGACGGAGCAACGCCGCGUGAGUGAUGAAGGUCUUCGGAUCGUAAAACUCUGUUAUUAGGGAAGAACAUAUGUGUAAGUAACUGUGCACAUCUUGACGGUACCAAAUCAGAAAGCCACGGCUAACUACGU
rnacentral:rRNA from 1 species